GAUGAAGAACGUAGCGAAAUGCGAUAAGUAGUGUGAAUUGCAGAAUUCAGUGAAUCAUCGAAUCUUUGAACGCACAUUGCGCCCCUUGGUAUUCCAUGGGGCAUGCCUGUUCGAGCGUCAUUUGUACCUUCAAGCUCUGCUUGGUGUUGGGUGUUUGUCUCGCCUCUGCGUGUAGACUCGCCUCAAAACAAUUGGCAGCCGGCGCAUUGAUUUCGGAGCGCAGUACAUCUCGCGCUUUGCACUCAUAACGACGACGUCCAAAAGUACAUUUUUACACUCUUGACCUCGGAUCAGGUAGGGAUACCCGCUGAACUUAAGCAUAUCAAUAAGCGGAGGA
rnacentral:misc_RNA from 1 species